GAAUGAUGGCUAUGAACCGUAGACGGCAAGGAAAGUUGGAGAUUACACGACCACAGACAGUGGCUUGUGGAGAUGCAGCUGGUUUAAACAGCAUAUAUCCAGUCUUAGUUGGGAGAACAGAUGAAGAUUUACAUUCAAGAAAGAUAUGGACAUCCGCAUUGUCACGUGAAGAACAUGUUGCAACUGCUGGAAGCCUUCAAAGAAUAACUGGUCUUUCACAGGGGAGGCAGAGGCGCUUUCUGAUGAUGGCACCAGAAAUUCUACAACUGACCGGACUGAUGACAAACUAUGCUUGCAGUCGACCCCAUGACUGGAGGAUAUAUAUGAGACAACGAGAUGCUCAAUUCAUUCUGAGCUUUGCAGCGAGAAGAUCUGUUGAUUAUUUACAGAGACAAGAUGGCAGAGAACCACAUGAAACUACAGCAUCUGUUUACUAUGAUUCUUGUAUUUACUUUUGUUUGACAAGGUUGUGUGAACUGACCCAUUGUAAAACUUCUCACCAAGGGGCUGAGAUAACUAUUUGUCUCGACACGAAACUAGUGUGUGUGUGUGUGUGUGUGUGUGUGUGUGUGUGUGUGUGUGUGUGUUUUCAAUGUUGGUGGAAAGGAAACCAAAGUUAUAAGGAGACAUUUUUGGACUGAAGAAGGGGUAUGAAAAAUGGUAAGUGAAAACAACAAACAAACAAACAAAAAUAAAUAAAUAAAAACUCAACA
ensembl:lncRNA